AAGGUUUCUUUCCCCAGUUUGAACUUUAGAGUAUAAAUGUGGGGAACCUGCAUGAACUCUUCUAAGCUUAAUUACUGGCUUAGAUCUGGUAUCCCUGCCGCCAGCCAAGAUUUACAGUGUCUGG